rnacentral:rRNA from 1 species
UACGUAGGGUGCAAGCGUUGUCCGGAAUUAUUGGGCGUAAAGAGCUCGUAGGCGGUCUGUUACGUCUGCUGUGAAAACCCGGGGCUUAACCCCUGGCUUGCAGUGGAUACGGACAGACUAGAGGUAGGUAGGGGAGAAUGGAAUUCCCGGUGUAGCGGUGAAAUGCGCAGAUAUCGGGAGGAACACCGGUGGCGAAGGCGGUUCUCUGGGCCUUACCUGACGCUGAGGAGCGAAAGCGUGGGGAGCGAACAGG